rnacentral:rRNA from 1 species
GACGAACGCUGGCGGCGUGCUUAACACAUGCAAGUCGAGCGGUAAGGCCCUUUCGGGGGUACGACGAGCGGCGAACGGGUGAGUAACACGUGGGUGACCUGCCCUCAGCUCUGGGAUAAGACCUGGGAAACCGGGUACUAAUACCGGAUAUGACUCCAUGACGCAUGUUGUGGGGUGGAAAGCCUUGUGCGGCUGAGGAUGGGCCCGCGGCCUAUCAGCUUGUU